AGCAGAAUUGCUGGGUCAAUGGUAAAUUUAUGUUUUAACUUUUUAAGAAACUGCCAAAUUGUUUUCGAAAGUGACUGCAUCAUUUUGCAUUCCCACCAGCAGU
rnacentral:pre_miRNA from 1 species